rnacentral:lncRNA from 1 species
UCCUGCGUUUUGCUCAAGCAGAAAUAUGCUACUCGAACUUCACCACCAAGAUAAAUGGUGCCUUGUAUCCGCUUGAUCCAUACGGUUUGAGUGGCCGCUACGCUGGUUUAUGGUCAAAUUAUAGCAACAUAGAUAUCAGCCAGGGCAUGAGUUACCAGGUGUGGAUGCUGAGUUAUAACGCUGAAACGCCAAAAUCGUUUUUCCUGGCACUCAUUGCCAUCCGCAAUCCAAGUGAGUAUUGGGAUCUCACAAGACCGGUCAUCCUGUGGAAGGCCCGACAGACGAGGCUUGUAGGUGAGAAUGCCACUUUACAAUUUACCGCAGAUGGAGAGCUUAAAAUCGAAGAAGACGAUGAUGUCGUAUGGUCCACGAAAACUGCAAACAGAGGCGUCCGGUGGCUCUGUAUUUCCAAUCGCGCAACCAUAAUGCUCCUGGAUGAAAGCGGAAGCAAUGUCAUCUGGCAAAGCAGCGACGAACCUUCUGAUACUGUGCUGUUGCAACGAGCACUUACGCCGGGACAAAAGCUCGUAAGUUGGAAUACUUCAGAAGACAGCAGCGAUGGCCUCUAUAGUCUCGUCAUAGAGAAAAACAGGCUGCAACUGUUGUACGCCUCGCAACCGUACUGGAGCUUCGGUAAUAUUACCAGCGAGGAAGAUAUGUUUGCGGUGUUCUGCAGGCAAAACGAUGGUAUCGUGUCUCUGGAUCUGCGAGCCAACUUCUCACAGAUUGAAACGAAUCGUGAUGACUUGGGGUUGGUGUUUUCAUUGUCAUGUUCCAGUCGAGGUUUAAGAGAUCAAGUGAUGGAGUUGCCAAUAGAUGGG